rnacentral:lncRNA from 1 species
CAGGAAUGCAGGUGUACGAGAGUUUGCAUCCUUUUCAAUAGAGCAACAACUAAUCGUUUUGAGUGCGUAUGUCCUCAGGAGAAAAGCAGCACAUAAGAAGCCAGAAAUAACCAAGGGCAUGGGCUGACUUCUAGAGAUUGAGUGUACAUCAAGAUACACCAGGCUGGGGGUAUACUUCUUACAGCACCUGUAGUGGUAAAGAUCAUCAUGUCUCUCUUCGGUGGGCGCAUAAUUCUCACAAGAAGUAAGGUCCAGCUGAAUAAUGGGUGAGCUUGAAAGCACCAUGACAGAGGACGCGGAGAGAGAGAGACUACUGUAGACAUACAGUUGUUGGGUUUGGGAGCUACUUAUUUUAUUGGUUAAUGCAUCAUAUGAAAAAGGACAGAUGUUAGGGUAAUUGUGCUCUAAACAACAUGUUGAAGGCAUUAAUGUGAAAGCAUAUACAGUAUUGAAUUACUUCAAGAAGAUAUCAUGUUUAUUAGGGAUAUGCCUAUCAGUUGAAAUGGAGCAGAUGGGAAACAAAGUGAAAAUGACAUGAUUUGGGAACACCUCUCAGAACCUGGGGCCGAAAGGGGAAGACUGGGUGGAAGCAUGAGAAAGCUUUUUAGUGCUUUUAUUUUUGUGGAUUCCAGCAGAAAAGUAUCCUGGAGGCAUAGAGUCAGGUGAAGAGAGAGUGGGAAUUGUCAUGGUCUCAGAUUUCGGUUUCCAUGAAUAUAUUUAUGCAUGACAUAUCACAUUGUCAAUACUGUUGUGUUUUUGUUUUUCACUUUCCAAGUCUUAUGCUUAGGAACCAGAAGGAGAGGGGUCGCCAGCUUCAGCUGGAAUGUUAGUUGGUGUAUGAUGAGUGAUGGAAAUAAGUGGAUGUAUGGUGUGAUCAUAAAACAGAGGCCAUAAGUCUCUAAGUUUGAAUGCCUCACAGAAAGAAGGCAGAAACCUGAACCAGGACCAGAGGUUCCACGUCUGGUGAUCCAAGAGACCAGGUCCGAGUGUUCCGGAAGAAAGGAAUGAGCCAAGGAG